AUUGAACGCUGGCGGCAGGCUUAACACAUGCAAGUCGAGCGGUAGAGACCUUCGGGUCUUGAGAGCGGCGGACGGGUGAGUAAUACAUAGGAAUCUGCCUGGUAGUGGGGGAUAGCCCGGGGAAACCCGGAUUAAUACCGCAUACGCCCUACGGGGAAAGGAGGGGAGUCUUAGGACCUUUCGCUAUCAGAUGAGCCUAUGUCGGAUUAGCUAGUUGGUGAGAUAAAGGCUCACCAAGGCGACGAUCCGUAACUGGUCUGAGAGGAUGAUCAGUCACACUGGAACUGAGACACGGUCCAGACUCCUACGGGAGGCAGCAGUGGGGAAUAUUGGACAAUGGGGGAAACCCUGAUCCAGCCAUGCCGCGUGUGCGAUGAAGGCUUUCGGGUUGUAAACUUACUUUG
rnacentral:rRNA from 1 species